CGUGAGCACCGGCGCAGGGGAACCCGGAGCCACCGCCAGCCGGCAGAGACCAGGCAGGGAACCGCAGAGCUCAGGCGCCCUCCCCCUCGCUCUCGCCGCCCCACCUCCGUGCCUCCCUCCCGCCUGCCCUGCCAGCCCCCUCCCUGUGCUGUUCUCCCUUCCAGGCUGAGGCUGCCGCAGGGCCACCUAAAGCAUCUGCCUGGGGAAGCCACUAGGACCCCCGGCGUGCAUCUUCCUCCUCGCCCUCAGGAGCCGGCAGCUUAGAAGGAGACCUCUCAGUCGGAGGCGAGCACCAGGAGUGAAAAGCACCAAAGCCUGAUGACUGGGGAGGACAGUCCUCAGGAGAUGACCCAAGCCCUGAAAUUUGGGAGGAGAGGUUUACUCUUCAUCCCUUUUCAAAUUUUGGGAACAUUGUGUAUAAGAUAAUAUAAUCUUCAAUUGAAAAGAAAAAAAAAAGAAGAAGAAGAAAAGGAGCUUCCCUGGGAGGUGGACUGUGGCAAUCUGGGAGGAAACUGAUUCUUCAUAACACUUGCAGCAACCUCCCUGCCAAGGCCACUCCUGCUGUAUCAUCCACAUGUCAUUGUUAUUUAGAAAGUUUUAGAAAAUAUAAUCACAGUAUUUGACAUGUCUGUAAAAGUAAAAUGCUCAGAAACAAUGCUGGUUGCUACUCCCAGCUCACAAACCAACGUGGAUCCUUGGAUGGGGAGUUGUGCACCUACCUUUCCAGCACCCAGGAGCCUUUCUGGAUCACCAGGUCUUCUGAGACCAGCUUGGUCCAUGUGAAUGCUAAGGCAAAUGCUAACUCUUCUGCUAUCAAGAGAAUGGAAUGAUUUCAUUUGUAGUAACAUGGGUGGGACUAGGACUCAUAUUAAAAGGCAUGAGUGGAGUAGGCACAGAAAGGCAAAAAGACAAGCACCAUACUGUCUUACUCAACCCUGAAGAAGACCUCCUCAGAAUGGGGAUGGGAUAGUGAUUAUCAGUGGUAAGAGGGACAGAUGGGACAGGAGGAUGGGGAAAGGUUAACAGAUGCUAAAUCAUAGUUAUAUAGGAACAAGAAGUUCAUACUGCCUAGUGCGUGGUAAGAAGACUAUAGGUAACAAUUAUAUGCUAUAUACAUUUUAAAAGUUACAAUAGAAUAUAUUAAUGUUUGGAAUGGUAAACAGUUCAGGAGAUGCAUACAUAUAACCUGGCAAACAUCAUACUAAUAUACCACACACAUUAGUACCUCAUUAUCAUGUACAGUUUUAAUUAAUCUUACUUAUCAAUUAAAGAUAAGCAAUUCAAUUAAUAAAAAUAAAAGUUAUGUCUGCUU
ensembl:lincRNA 2310026I22Rik uncharacterized LOC110284638